UGAAUUAAUAAGUAAUAGGCUGUUAAAGGAAAAAGUUUUCUUCCUAUAUUGACACAGGCCCAACAAUCAACAUUUAAUGAAGUUUUAAUGUAGAAUAACUGAGCACUGACACCAGAGAGAGCGAGAGAGAGAUGAUAGAGAGAGAAAGAGGGUGAGAGAGAGAGAGAAUGAGAGAGAGGGAAAAAGAAAAAGAAAAGUUGAUUUUCUUUUUAAAAAUGACCACUGUGUGACCUCUACCCCCUCCAAAUAUUUCUGUUCACUCCUAACUUGCAGAUAGGCUAUAUCAAUUUUUUUUUUUUGUGGGGCUUCACGUUCGGCUGCAUUCAUAAAGAGGAAUUUUUAAGAGCAUGUAAUGCAAUAUUAAUCGCGAUUUGCUGAUAUAAAAUGCAAUAUUUUCAGACAGCUUUCGGGGGUUUCAGGGGAAGCAGGCGGAUGAAGGAAGUCGCUGUUAAAUAGCAGAGAAAGCUGCUCUUUAUUGCUUUUCUUUAGCUUUUGGCUACACGGACAGAAGACAGCGAAUCCUUAAUGUAAGUAAAAUACUUUUUUGUUGAAUUUUUAAGAAAUUUUGUUGGUCAUUUGUAACUUUUUUUCUUUUUUAAAGAUUAGCAUAGACGUAUGUCAUUUUGAAUGAAAAUAUAUAUAUUUUUUCUUCUGCAAUUGCUUUCCCAUUUAAAUUGUAACAGGCCUGCUUCGUGGCGUUCCCCACUGCUAGCCUUAUUCCACUACUUCAUUCGUUCAAUUCUGUUAAACAUAAUUUUGUAAAUCUAAUUUAAAAAUUGAGGAAAAUUGUGAAAAAAAUAAUAAGAAAUUUGUUUUCGUUGUGAGAAUAUUUUUCCAAACGCUGUUCUUUCGCGACACAGACUUUCUAGGGAAAAAGAAAAGAAUGAAUGAAAUGUAAAAAAAAAAAAAAAAAAGCUAUUUGCUCAUUAAGUGAUAUUGCAAAUUUCCUGUUAGAGGUUGCCGCUAUCACAGAGUCCUUUUUGUUGCAUUGUUACGAAAUAGUACAGCUGUUAUAUAUAUAUCUAUAUAUCUAUAUAUAUAUAUGUGUGUGUGUGUGUGUGUGUGUGUGUGUGUGUGUGUGUGUGUGUGUGUGUGUGUGUGUGUGUGUGUGUGUAUAUAUAUGUAUACACAAUGGCUUAAAAGUUUCACCACCUCAUACUAUCUACUGAGAGUAACGCAACACCGC
ensembl:lncRNA